rnacentral:tRNA from 1 species
GUCAGUGUCGUCUAGUGGUUAGGACGCGAGCUUCACACGCUCGAGAUCGAGGGUUCGCUCCCCUCCUCUGAUA